rnacentral:lncRNA from 1 species
UCUUAUACACUAAUAAACUAUUUUAUUCCCACUAGUAUUAAUUUAUAAUUUCAGUACAACAAAAAUUGGGUCCAGAUAUUUAAAAUUGCAUGUAAGUAUGUAACCAACAUUAGUUGGCUGAAAUAUAUCAUUGUUAAACUUAUUUGACAAAAAAAAUAAAUUUUCUCAAAAAAAAAAAAAAAUCUCAAAUAAUAAAACCAAAACUUCUGAAUCAAGUAGCGGGAUUCACCUUCUAGAAAGAAACUCCACGUUAUGCAUUCCUUCUCCUUCUUCUUCUUCCAUCAUCACUCUAUUAAUUACUAAAACUGCCAUCAUCAUCCAUCCAUGUGCUCUCAACCACUUGCUCCUAUAUAUACGGCUUCUUCCACAACAAGACAAAAAAAAAAAUUAAAACUCCAUUAAAGCUUAAACACACCAAAACCUCUCUCUCUCUUUUCAUCUGUCAACUGUAAAAUGGAGAGAGACGAUGAUUGCAACGCUUACACGGCGUCGUUUUCGCCUAGCUUCAGUACUUAUUCAGGUGAUCGUCUUUCAGAGAUCGCCGAACGAGUUUGUUACAGAGAGAAAUCAGACGAAGAAUUCGAGUUUUCCAUAACCGCACCGCCGCCGCCUA